rnacentral:rRNA from 1 species
GGACUACCAGGGUAUCUAAUCCCGUUCGCUCCCCCAGCUUUCGCGUCUCAGCGUCAAGAAUGCCCCAGGAGACCGCCUUCGCCACUGGUGUUCCUACCGAUCUCUACGCAUUUCACCGCUACACCGGUAAUUCCAUCUCCCCCUAGCACCUUCAAGACUGCCAGUAUCCACCGACCCUCCGAGGUUGAGCCUCGGGCUUUCACAGCGGACUUGGCAACCCGCCUACACGCGCUUUACGCCCAGUAACUUCGGACAACGCUCGCCCCCUCCGUAUUACCGCGGCUGCUGGCAC